CUGGCAUAAUAAGAUUAAGAUGGUUCUAGAACAUUCUUCGACUAUCGCUCACCCUACUGAAUUAUCCAGGUCAUCUCGACUUUGGCGAGCGGUGUUAUGGCUGUACCCUGGUGUUUAUGAGAUGAAGUUUGUUAUUGAUGGUCAUUGGAGAAUCGAUCCUCAACGGGAGUCGGUUACUCGGAGCGGUGUACAUAACAACAUUCUUCGAGUGGAUAGGUAGAUAGAUAGGUGAUUGUGUUUCUCUUUCGACUCUUGUCUGAAUCUUGUGUACAGUCGAUUAAUGUUUGUAUCGAUGUCGAAAUAUGAUGUUUUUGCCGGUUCUACCCUUUUGGAGCAAUUUUAGUUUGUUUGGUUAUGGAAGAUCAAUGAUGCUUUA